CUUUUCUUUCCACAGAGGAGGCAAAAUAUGUCUGACGGACCAUUUCAAGCCCUUGUGGGCCAGGAAUGUCCCCAAAUUUGGUUUGGCCCACCUCAUGGCAUUGGGGCUGGGACCAUGGCUGGCUGUGGAGAUCCCGGAUUUGAUUGUAAAAGGCAUGAUUGAGCACAAGGAGAAAGGAGGUGGCUGAGUCCUGCACACCCGUCAGCGGUUGCUGUUUAUGCCCCAGAUCCGUAGCUGAUUCUUUGUGCUUUUGCCUGUAACAUCUGGACUGCAAACUGCCUGUAAAACCCAUCACACCAAUAAAAGCAAAUUAUCUGCCUGCAAA